rnacentral:rRNA from 1 species
GAAUCGAAUUUACAUGGAUAACCGUGGUAAUUCUAGAGCUAAUACAUGCUGGUGUGCCCGACUUUUGCGGAAGGGCGGUAUUUAUUAGAUAACAAGCCAAUAUUCCUCUGGUCUAUUGUGGUGACUCAUAAUAACUGAUCGAAUCGCAAGGCCUGUGGCCGCGAUAAGUCAUUCAAGUUUCUGCCCCAUCAGCUUUCGAUGGUAGUGUAUUGGACUACCAUGGCGUUUACGGGUAACGGAGGAUUAGGGUUCGAUUCCGGAGAGGGAGCCUGAGAAACGGCUACCACAUCUAAGGAAGGCAGCAGGCGCGUAAAUUACCCAAUCCUGACUCAGGGAGGUAGUGACAAGAAUUAACGGACCGAGGCCCUCGGGCUUCGGGAUUGCAAUGAGCCGAAUUUACACCCCUUAGCGAGGAUCGAUUGGAGGGCAAGUCUGGUGCCAGCAGCCGCGGUAAUUCCAGCUCCAAUAGCGUAUAUUAAAGUUGUUGCAGUUAAAAAGCUCGUAGUUGGAUUUCUGGGAGGGUGCCAAUGUCCGCCGACGUGCGUGCGCAGCGGCGCCCUUCCAUCCUUCUGUUAACGCCUCUUGGCAUUCAUUUGCUGGUGGCGGGCUCAGAUAUUUUACCUUGAGAAAAUUAGAGUGUUUCAGGCAGGCUAGGCCGGAAUACAUUAGCAUGGAAUAAUGGAAUAGGACUACGGUCUCUUUGUUGGUUUGAGGGACUGCAGUAAUGAUUAAUAGGGAUAGUUGGGGGCAUUAGUAUUUAAUUGUCAGAGGUGGAAUUCUCGGAUUUGUUAAAGACUAACUUAUGCGAAAGCAUUUGCCAAGGAUGUUUUCAUUAAUCAAGAACGAAAGUUAGGGGAUCAAAGACGAUCAGAUACCGUCCUAGUCUUAACCAUAAACUAUGCCGACUCGGGAUCGGGGGCGCGAACUAUCCGCUUCGGCACCGUAUGAGAAAUCAAGUCUUUGGGUU